UGACAUCAUAUUGGAGGGAAACCAGCAGCACAAACAUCAUAAUUGAGAGGUGAUGAAGGUAGUGAUCUCAUGGGGGAAGAGUUUCUGGAACAGUAGCGGGGGAAGGAGAGAAGGUCUCUAUCCCACUGUGAGGCUACAUUCUUGGCUCUGCAUAGGAUCAGAUAGCAGACCCUCGAUGUGUUCAAAAUGGGAGCUUUCCAAAAGAUAGAGGAAUUUGGGUCACAUUUUAGAAUAACUCCACUCAUGUGCUACUCUAACUAAUCUGCAGAUUCAAAAUAAUCCCCUAAUGCUGUAAUAACCCUUUAUAUAAUUAUGCAUGGCUUUUAUUCAAGAUAUGUAAUAGUUUGAAUAAGCACAACUGUGGAAACGUUCAGCGGUCCAUCUGGCCGGUGUUAGCAUGGACAUUUUUCCCAAACUGGUUGUGAAUCACUAGAAGGUCAUGACCUACAGGGCAAUGGAGGGAAUCUG